CCUACGGGAGGCAGCAGUGGGGAAUUUUGGACAAUGGGCGAAAGCCUGAUCCAGCAAUGCCGCGUGUGUGAAGAAGGCCUUCGGGUUGUAAAGCACUUUUGUUCCGGAAAGAAAUGGCUCUGGUUAAUACCUGGGGUCGGAUGACGGUACCGGAAGAAUAAGGACCGGCUAACUACGUGCCAGCAGCCGCGGU
rnacentral:rRNA from 1 species